GAUGAACGCUGGCGGCGUGCUUAACACAUGCAAGUCGAACGGAGUUGCUUUAUGGAAGUUCUUGGAUGGAAGUAAAGUAACUUAGUGGCGGACGGGUGAGUAACGCGUGGGUAACCUGCCUUAUACAGGGGGAUAACAACCGGAAACGGUUGCUAAUACCGCAUAAGCGCACAGUAUUGCAUGAUACAGUGUGAAAAGAUUUAUCGGUAAUAAGAUGGACCCGCGUCUGAUUAGCUAGUUGGUGAGGUAAUGGCUCACCAAGGCGACGAUCAGUAGCCGGCUUGAGAGAGUGAACGGCCACAUUGGGACUGAGACACGGCCCAAACUCCUACGGGUGGCUG
rnacentral:rRNA from 1 species